rnacentral:rRNA from 1 species
ACGUACAGACACCCACCCUGGACACGCCAAUGUUGAAGUCUAAACAGGAUUGGGCCUGAUUAGUCUCUGGAUGGUGGAUCUCUUGGGGCUGCCAGGUGCUGUAGGCC